ensembl:lncRNA
GGGAGCAGAGUUGAAGUUACAAUUGAGAUUAGAGAAUUGGGGCCCUGUGAAGGGCACCCGGGCUAUUUUUCCUGCCCUGCGUUACACAGCUAGGAGGAGGUGAGCAGGGCAGUAUCAAGGCCUGGUCUGUGUUGCUCCAAGGAGCAUGAAAAGGACAGAGGGCCUGGUGUAGGAAGCGUGGUUUCCACAGGAUCCUUGCUGCCUUCAGAUUCCUCCCGGCAGCCAGGGAGCUGGGUAAGGCGGAGGCUAUUCAGCUGCCAUCUGUCCUCCUGGCUCCAGUGCCUGGCAACUGGCUGCCCGGGUCUGCUCUCUGCUCUGGAGGAGGAGGCAUUCCUCCACGGCCCAUCAGGCAGGAUGAGGAGCUGUGCCCUCGCCAGGGCCGCACCACAUGAUGGAUUCGAUGAUUAUGCCUUUCUGAUGUGGGGGCUGCUCAGUCGUGUAGCAGAACCAGUCCCAUCUGCUGUGUUUCUUCAAAGAGCUGCUGGAAGGAAAUAUCUGCACUCUGCUCAUGCUGGGGCUGGAGGUGGAAAGGAGGAUGGAAGUGAGGCCAGAUGGACAUAAAGACCGUGGGUCCAGCUCAGGGCAGCAGCUCCUAUUUGUGGAAGUGAUGCAAACGACAGGCCCUUCUCUGCGCCAUUUGCCCCCCUUGGCAUCCCUUACUGGAAGACAUGGCUGCCGCCUGCUGUGGCCCUCUGCCCGAGGUUUUUCCCUUGAAGAGGCUUCCUGUGCCUGAAGCUGCCCUGCGACAAGCAGUAGAGAGUUUAUAGCAGCUUUCGCCACCACUCCCCCUUCUCAGAAGAGAGACAAAGAGGAGGCAGUGGGUGAUCUGGGGGCUCUUGGAGCGGUGGAAGUUGGAAGUCCCUACGUGGAGCUCUCCUUGACCAGGAUGAUGAGGACCAUCCUGCCUGUCCCCCCGGCUUGGACUCUGCAGCUGAGCCUCCACCUCCGGAACCAGAGCAGAGAAGAGCACCAUUGGGAAAGGAGGGCCUGCAGGACUUGCCUAGACUCGGGGCAGCCUAAGGACCUCAUGCUUUGAUGGUUAAAUCUGUGGAUGUGAGACCCACAGAUACAGAGUGCAGAGUGCACCAACGUGAUGCGGUCUGACUAUGUUGCCCAGGCUGGUCUCAAACUCCCAGGAUCAAGGAAUCCUCCUGCCCCAGCCUUCCCAGCACCUGGGACUACAGGCACAUCCACCAAGCCAGCCUCUGUGGGGAUAUCUUUCCUGAAGUCAUCUGUGCCCUGCAAUCCAGCUGAGUGCUUCUCUGGGACAGCUGUACAGCUCCCAUCCUGAGAGCUCCCUUUGCACUCAGGGACCAACAAGCGCCUUUAUGUUUCUCCUUUGUUGCAAUCCUUCUGUCCUGGACCAUGGUUUUUUUCUCCUUCUUAAUUGGCUUCUUCCUUGUAGUGAAGCAUAAUUUUCAAGAGAUACUUGAGGAAGGGCCUAUAGGAGAUACACAAACUGAAAACCUGCACUGGGGAAAAUGUCUGUAGUCCAACUGCCCUUUGGUGGAUAGUUUUGUGGUACACAAUCUUAGAAAACUAUGGGGGCGGGGAUUUAGCUCAUUGGUUUUGCCGCCUGCCACGCAAGCGCAAGGGCCAGAGUUCGAUCCCCACUACCAAAAAAACCCAAAAAACCAGAAAACUAUGUCCCUCAGGAUUUAGCAUAUAUUGAUCUAUUGUCUUCCAGCUUCCACUCUUAUGGAUAAAAAACUUAAGUCUGUUUUGAUUUCCUUUUCUUUGCAAAUGACCUGUUUUGUUCUCUCUAGAAGCUUGAAGUCCUUUUGCUCUUUUUUUUUUCUUUCUUUUCUUUUAAU